rnacentral:rRNA from 1 species
ACGGCAGCGCGGGGGCAACCCUGGCGGCGAGUGGCGGACGGGUGAGGAAUACAUCGGAAUCUACCCUGUCGUGGGGGAUAACUAGCCGAAAGGUUAGCUAAUACCGCAUACGACCGAGAGGUGAAAGCGGAGGACCGCAAGGCUUCGCGCGAUUGGAUGAGCCGAUGUCGGAUUAGCUAGUUGGCGGGGUAAAGGCCCACCAAGGCGACGAUCCGUAGCUGGUCUGAGAGGAUGAUCAGCCACACUGGGACUGAGACACGGCCCAGACUCCUACGGGAGGCAGCAGUGGGGAAUAUUGGACAAUGGGCGCAAGCCUGAUCCAGCAAUGCCGCGUGUGUGAAGAAGGCCUUCGGGUUGUAAGGCACUUUUAUCAGGAACGAAAAGUCUUCGGUUAAUACCCGGGGAUGCUGACGGUACCUGAGGAAUAAGCACCGGCUAACUUCGUGCCAGCAGCCGCGGUAAUACGAAGGGUGCAAGCGUUA